AGUUUGAUCCUGGCUCAGAACGAACGCUGGCGGCAGGCUUAACACAUGCAAGUCGAACGCCCCGCAAGGGGAGUGGCAGACGGGUGAGUAACGCGUGGGAAUCUACCGUGCCCUGCGGAAUAGCUCCGGGAAACUGGAAUUAAUACCGCAUACGCCCUACGGGGGAAAGAUUUAUCGGGGUAUGAUGAGCCCGCGUUGGAUUAGCUAGUUGGUGGGGUAAAGGCCUACCAAGGCGACGAUCCAUAGCUGGUCUGAGAGGAUGAUCAGCCACAUUGGGACUGAGACACGGCCCAAACUCCUACGGGAGGCAGCAGUGGGGAAUAUUGGACAAUGGGCGCAAGCCUGAUCCAGCCAUGCCGCGUGAGUGAUGAAGGCCUUAGGGUUGUAAAGCUCUUUCACCGGUGAAGAUAAUGACGGUAACCGGAGAAGAAGCCCCGGCCAACUUCGUGCCAGCAGCCGCGGUAA
rnacentral:rRNA from 1 species